UAAAGAAUUUCGGUCAUCGAUGGGGAUGCGUUCCAUUAGCUUGUUGGCGGGGUAACGGCCCACCAAGGCAUCGAUGGAUAGGGGUUCUGAGAGGAAGGUCCCCCACAUUGGAACUGAGACACGGUCCAAACUCCUACGGGAGGCAGCAGUGAGGAAUAUUGGUCAAUGGGCGCUAGCCUGAACCAGCCAAGUAGCGUGAAGGAUGACUGCCCUAUGGGUUGUAAACUUCUUUUAUAUGGGAAUAAAGUGCAGUAUGUAUACUGCUUUGCAUGUACCUUAUGAAUAAGGAUCGGCUAACUCCGUGCCAGCAGCCGCGGUAAUACGGAGGAUCCGAGCGUUAUCCGGAUUUAUUGGGUUUAAAGGGAGCGUAGGCGGGUUGUUAAGUCAGUUGUGAAAGUUUGCGGCUCAACCGUAAAAUUGCAGUUGAUACUGGCAUCCUUGAGUACAGUAGAGGUAGGCGGAAUUCGUGGUGUAGCGGUGAAAUGCUUAGAUAUCACGAAGAACUCCGAUUGCGAAGGCAGCCUGCUGGACUGUAACUGACGCUGAUGCUCGAAAGUGUGGGUAUCAAACAGGAUUAGAUACCCUGGUAGUCCACACAGUAA
rnacentral:rRNA from 1 species